UUUACAAUUAUGCAAAUCCUUGAGAUAAGUUCCAUUUCUGGGCCAAUCCAGAAAUGUAAACAAGCAUAACAGUGGUAGAGCUGGUUUUCUUAUGUUGGUGAGUUUGAUUUAGUUCUCGGUAACCUGUGGUACGAUAUCAUAAUGAACUGAACAGAGCUGUUUGUCUUAUUCUUGCCGUAUGCAGUUGAGGGUGUUUUCUUGGUUUAAAGCACAUAUUGGAGUUGUUGGCAAUGGCAUUCAAUAUAUGCAAAUUUAGAGUGACUUUGCCAUUUAAAUUGGUAUGAAAAAGGACAAGUGAUGUGCUCAUGUUGUAAGAAACAUGACCAUGCUGAAGUCCUUAAUAGUUACUGACUUACUGAUCAAUAUGGUGGACAGCACCGGCUUGUGGAGAUGAACUUGAAGAUUCCGGAGGAUCAUUGUUGGAGAAUAUUUAGCAGAGAAUGAAGAUAUACAGAAGGAAUCUAAAUCACUGAAACAUCCAGAAGAUCUAAUUCUAGGCAAGGUACUUUCAUUGUCAAAACACAUACAUUAGAGGUAAAAGAAUUCCUGGGUACGCAUGGUUUGAUACUUUUGCACAAUGGACUAGUAAAAGCAGGUAACUUUAUAUGACCCUUCCAUGUUUGAGUUAUAUACCAUGCAAUAGUUGUCAAAUUGACAACAUGCUAUAUAAAAGGUGCACAAUAUGUAUAUAUUUGAUUCUUUCUCUCUUUUUAGUCCUAUCCAUCACAUUGAAUGAUGGAACAUCUCAAUUGAUUUUACUGACUAUCAGAGUUGCAGCUAUACAUAUUUUCUUGUGGUGUUACCUCCA